AUUGCUAAUUAAAUUUUUACCCCUCUAAUUUUUUUGUUUUACACAUUCUUCCUAUUUUUUUAAUCUGAGUUUCAAAGAGAGUUCUGCUAGGGUUUUUUCCCCCUCUCUGCUUCCUAUCAAUGUUGCUCGUUUCACGUUCCUCCCACUCCGCCGUAGCUUGCUUGCUCUCUAAUCCUCUUUCUGCGCCAUGCUCGUUCUCUGAUGCUCGCCCUGGGCCGUCGCUGGUUUCCUCUCUUCACCGUGCGUCGUCGCUGCUACUCUGUUUCUCGUCGUCGCUGCUUCGAAAUGGAAUUCGUACCCUACAUGGCUUCCAGUACUCACCUCAUCUAAGGAACUUCUAAAAGGUGGAAUGGAUCUUAAUUAAGCAGAUCUUGCUGUCUUUGGUGUUCUACGGCUCAUCCGUCACCUUCAAGUUCAGUAAAGAUAUGGUAGAGCAGACACAGAUUGGAAAAUGAAACUCUCAUAUGGAUCAAGCUGUAGGAGAGUCUUGCAGAAUCAAUUCAGAUAGUUAAACUAUAGUGAGUCUCAAUUUAUAAAUUGAUAUCAGACUGCUGUAUGAAAAUUGAAAUAAGUUUGCACUACAAAAUUUUUUAAUGGCAUGGGGUUGCUCUAGCUGCCCCUUUUACUUGUAGCAAUGAUAUAUGAUGACAAGAUGUUUGGUCUGGUUUUGUGAAGCAUAAUGAUCUUGUUAUCUCAACUUGUGUGAUUGUACCCUUAUGCUAUAAUGCAAUCAAUAAGAGGAGCUUCAUCAAGGUAUUUUAAGGAGUAUCGGUUGGAUGCACCUAAUGAUGAUGAAGAAUAUGAUGUACAAUUUGAUGAUGAAUUGGUAUGUCUUUUUUUUUUCAAUUGCUAUUCUCUUGAUCUGUUGAUCAUAACCACCAAACACUCAGAUUCUGUAUUUGUUUUUUUUUUUAUGAUUCUUAUGCGAUUUUACAUCAUGACCCAGAUAAAGAUGAUUAGAUUUGAUAUGUUUAUUUUUUAC